AAAUACUCUAUCAUUUUCUUCUCCACCAUCUAGAAUUCAAGAAAAUAUGCAAACUGAAGAAAAGGAAUAUGUGGUCAGAUGAUGAAAAGGUUCAAUUUGAGGAGACCUCUGGAAGUUCACAAGUCCAAAACUAUUCUGUGGUACUGUGCAUAUGCACUAAAUUAUGCAUAUAAAAAUAUAUAUGUAUAUAUGCAUAUAAA
rnacentral:lncRNA from 1 species